GGAACGGGGGCUUUCUGUCGGUACGUCAAACAGCAAGGUAUUAACUUACUGCCCUUCCUCCCAACUUAAAGUGCUUUACAAUCCGAAGACCUUCUUCACACACGCGGCAUGGCUGGAUCAGGCUUUCCCCCAUUGUCCAAUAUUCCCCACUGCUGCCUCCCGUAG
rnacentral:rRNA from 1 species